ACGACUAGAAAAAAAAAAAAAAAAAACCUCCUCAAAUUCAAUCUUCGUUAGCAAGUUUCUUUCCCCAACGACUAGAAAAAAAAAAAAAAAACUCCUCAAAAGAAACUCACUAUCUUCAACACGCAUCACGGCAUCAGAAUGAGCUUCAACUCGUCUCGCUCUGCGGACUCUGGUUCCAAAUCGAAGAGAAGCUUCAAUUCAACCACCUCGAAUCGUUCGAGCAAUCCUAGCAGCAAUAGCGACAGCAGCAAGAAGCAGAAGAAGACUACCCAGAAAACCCUAGGCAUGGCUUGGGGAUCAAAUUCUCGCUCCGCCUCUCGCUCCUCCUUCCGCAACUCGCCUUUCUCCGAUUUCGGCAGUUACAUGGCAGUGAAAAAUCAGAAACUACAGGAGCAGUUUGAAGCUGAAGCUACGAGUUCUUCUAACAGUGGUUCAAAUAGCGGGAAGCCUAUUUUUCAAGGGGUUUCUAUUUUUGUUGAUGGAUUUACUAUUCCCUCAAGCCAGGAGCUGAAAGGGUACAUGCUGAAGCAUGGAGGACGCUUUGAGAAUUAUUUUUCGAGGCAUCGUGUUACUCAUAUCAUCUGCAGCAACCUUCCUGACAGUAAAAUUAAGAACUUGAGGUCUUUUAGUGCUGGGCUCCCUGUAGUGAAACCUGCAUGGCUGUUGGAUUCUGUUGCCGCUAAUAAACUUUUAAGUUGGGUCCCAUAUGAACUUGAACAGGUUGCUAGUGAAACUCAUAACCAACCAAAGCUAUCAUCCUUCUUUGCUUUGAAAAGCAGCGCACUCUCAAAUGAUCCUACAACUUGUGUUACUGGUCAAGUAAACUCUGAAAUUGAGGAUCCAUCAUUGAUAGGUGGCACAAUUAAGGAGUCUGAUUUGUCUGGGCGGUGUGGAUACACGGAACACUUAAGGCCAUGCAGUAGAGAGUCUAGAGACUGGGAUGAUAGUGUGCAUGGGAAUAGCACAUCAGUAAAAAUUGGGGAGGCGACAUGCAAUGAUGGAGAAUGUAGCGAAGGGAAUGUGGCUGAACCAAGUAAUGGUCUACCAAUAGACAAGGGCAGCGUUGAUGAUCGAGAUCCAGGUAGCCCCUCUGGACCUUCUGCAUCAGUUAUCAGCGACAAUGCUAACAAGUCAACGAGUUCAGCAAUUGCUGGGCCUUCUAAACGGCAUCAUUCAACUCUCGUUGACCCUAAUUUUGUGGAAAAUUAUUUUAAGAAAUCUAGGUUGCACUUCAUAGGUACUUGGAGAAGUCGUUACCGUAAGCGUUUUCCCAGCUCCAUAUACACAAGUUCUAAUGUUAAUGCUUCUGGUCAGAGGACUAAUGUUAUCCAUGUGGACAUGGAUUGUUUCUUUGUCUCGGUGGUCAUCAGGAAUCAUCCAGAAUUGCAGGAUAAUCCUGUGGCUGUGUGCCAUUCUGACAAUCCACGAGGAACUGCUGAAAUUUCGUCUGCAAACUACCCUGCUCGAAGUUAUGGAGUACGGGCGGGAAUAUUUGUUAGAGAUGCAAAGGCACUUUGUCCUCACCUUACUAUUUUCCCUUAUGACUUUGGAGCUUAUGAGGAGGUUGCUGAUCAGUUCUAUAACAUCUUGCAUAAACAUUGCAAGAAAGUGCAGGCUGUAAGCUGCGAUGAAGCAUUUUUAGAAGUCAGAGACUUUGAAGUGGAAGAUCCUCAGUUUUUAGCUUCAGUAAUUAGAAAAGAGAUAGUUGAAACUACAGGAUGCACUGCAAGUGCUGGAAUCUCUGGGAAUUUGCUUAUGGCUCGCCUUGCCACAAAAGCUGCUAAACCAGAUGGUCAAUGCUAUAUCCCUCCUGAGAAGGUGGAUGAUUACUUGAAUGAACUUCCAAUUAAGUCACUUCCAGGAAUUGGGCAUGUCUUAGAGGAGAAGUUGAAAAGGAAACAAAUUCAAACAUGUGGCCAGCUGCGGAUGAUUUCCAAGGAAUCUCUUCAAAAGGAAUUUGGAGUUAAAACUGGUGAUAUGCUAUGGAAUCAUAGUAGAGGGGUUGAUAAUCGGCUGGUUGGAGUGAUACAGGAAAGCAAGUCUGUUGGUGCUGAAGUAAAUUGGGGUGUGAGGUUCAAUGAUAUGAAAGAUUGUCAACAUUUUCUCACAAACCUUUGCAAGGAGGUCUCAUUGCGUUUGCAGGGAUGUGCGGUGGAAGGACGUAGUUUUACCCUUAAGAUAAAAAAGAGGAGAAGUGAUGCUGAGGAGCCAGUGAAGUAUAUGGGCUGCGGAGACUGUGAGAACCUGAGCCACUCUAUGACGGUUCCAAUGGCUACCGAUGAUGUGGAUAUAAUCCGAAGAAUAACCACACAGCUCUUUGGAUCAUUUCAUAUAGAUGUCAAGGAUAUUCGCGGCAUGGGCUUGCAGGUUUCAAAGCUUGAAAGUGUAGAUACUGCUAAGCAAGGGAAUGAAAGGAACUCUAUUCGGUCUUGGCUCAGCUCUGCCUCAGCAAGUACCAAAGAGCUGCUUGAAAUUAGUUCUCCAGCCAAAGAGAGUGCUAGUAGAGAAAUUGAUGAACAACACAUUGAUGAAAGCAUCGGUCGGCUGAGCUCGGAUUUCAUGGGGCCUUCAGUUCAAAUUGGGACUAACCCAUCAAACUAUGAAGCUCCUUUAAACCACGAUUUAACCCUACCAGCUUUAGGUGAUCUUGAUUUGGGAGUUGUAGCAAGUCUUCCUCCGGAUGUGUUUUCAGAAAUUAAUGACAUAUAUGAUGGCAAGUUAAUGAAUUUGAUUUCAAAAAGGAAAGGCAAAAGUGUCGCACAGGAAAGAGUACAAGUUCCACUAAAGGAGGGUAGCGGAACCUUUUACCAUCAUCCAGCCUGUGUAAAUGAAAACCGUGUGGUGGAUAAGGUUUACUAUAAAGUCAAAACUUUUCUCUCAGGUUUACAAUGUGGUCUUUCCUCAGCUUCAGGCAUCUGUUGGGGAAAACUACGGCGGAAGGUUACAUAUUUCAGAUGGGAAGGACUUAUGACUACUACGGACCGGCACACACUGAUUUCUUCACGAAGGAAGCCCACAAAUGGCAGCCAGUGGAUGAGACUCUCUCUCUGGGGUAUAGGAAGCAUCAGAUGUUUUCUAUGUGCAAUACAAAUAUUAGGAGGCAUCAAGGGAAAGGUUCGAUUAGUUUUCUGGAAGAGUCAUGGGUUUGAUAUAUUUUAUAACCACUUAACCGUGUAUAGAGGGGGCUGUUAUUCUGACAUUUUUUACUUGUCAGAUAUCAUGCGCGGCUGCGCCCACUCCCCUGUCCAAAUUAACUUAAACUAAAGUACUAAACUAAUUUUUGCCUUAUAAUUCUUGUGUAUAGAAAUCUUCAUGUUAUGAAGGAUCAUUUGACAGAUGACAUCAUCUUAUACUUAAGGCUAUGUUUGGAUCAUAGAUCCCUGAAAGGACGGAAGAGGGGAAGGAAAAAUUAAAGGAAAAUAUUUGAAGAUAAUGGAUUGAAUAAAUGAACUCAUUACUUUUGUUUUCCUGUUUCCCUUUGCUGAAUUCCUGUAUGAAUCCUUGAUUCAAACACACCAUUAAGGAAAUCUAGAGAUAGUAUGUCCUGAGUAGGCAAGUCCUUUAUUUUAUUUGUGGUCCCAUUCAUGUGAUACAUUUUACAUCAAGAACUAGAAGCAGUGCUUUUGAGCAAUUCCACGUUAAGGAACAUCUAUAGAUCCCUUGUCUCUCUCAACCCUUUUGAUUAUCUACGACAACCUGUGCAUAGUUGCUGGUUUCAUCUUUGAUUUUUGUUUGUUUCGUAAUGUCAUUGUUAUCGAUAAAAUCCACUUAUGUUGGGCCUAUGGUUACUUGUUUUGUGUCUUAAGUAGAAAGAAGAUGGCAUUGAAGGUGAUCGAUUCCUGCACGUGCAUUACCUUUUGAUUGUAAUGGGAGGCUGUGGAUGAACAUUUGGUGGGCAUCUUUGACAUUUCAUGACGUGCUCACAUGCUUGUUGAUAUCCAGACUCAAUGAAAUCAAAGUGUUGGCGGUAAAUGGAGACAUGGAGGGCUGUCAAAUCAUCAAAUGGGCUGUGGAUUGUGUGCGCAAAAAUCUUUCCAGUUUGCUAGUUGUCCCUUUACAGAUUUAUGCCCCACUUAUCCUGGUUGCUAGGACUCGGUUCUAAAUUGGUGUGACAAUCUUUGUGCUGGUACAACCGAGGUGAACGUUGAGCCCAUUACAAGGUUAUCAGUGACUUUGUAUCCCUCUUUCUAUGCAUUGGCUGUGCCUAGAAUCAGUACCGCCUUAAGCAUGGAAGCUUCAUGACCGCACCAGUAUGGAAGCUAAACUUUGGGACUCAAAAAAUGGACUCAGAUACAUCCUUCAACAAGACCAACUCAAGUUGAAGUACAGAUGGACUCUUUGGGAGUGGUGAAUCUGGUGAAAGAGAACCCUGAUCCACAGGGGAACUUGAUUGAGGAAUGCAAGAGCAUUUUUUGAACGAAGCAAUAGCUCCAUCAACCAUGCUCAUCGAGAGAGAAACAAAGUGGCUGACAUGCUGGCAAAUCUAGGAGUGGGGCAAGAAGACCCCCCCUUCUGAUGUCGCAAGCCUUCUUGCAGCUAAUUUGUGCAGGAACAAUGUUUGAGAGGCCUUGACCACUCUCCGGGUUUUUUUUUGAAUUUUAUUUUUAUUUUUGCCGAUGUACCAAAAAAUAGGGAAAUUCAUGUCAUUACCAGUGCAUUGGCUCAUAAGCCCAUUUUAUUCAAGUUAGACAACCGCAUAAAAAUGUGAAGUGUUAGUGCGGAUUAUAAACACUUUCAUAUUAGUGUGGUGUCUAAACACUUGUGAUCGUGUGGUUCACAAAUCCAAUGUACGGAGGAGGAUUUAGUAAUUAGUCAAUUGUUCGUCCUCUCAUGAUUCACC